AACCGCACAGGUGCUCUUUUUUUGAGAGCUUAAACUGGAAUCAGGUGAAAAUCCUGAACAAGGCCGUUGCUGUGAACAGUGAGAUACGGUAUAUGGAAAGAGGAAAUUCCGGCCACUGGUCUAUUAGGACCGGGAAGGUAUGACCGUAUUGAGAGACUUUUUUACGAAGCAGGGUGGUUGGCAGCUUAUUUUCAAGCUGUCAUGCCUGGCGCAGAGCAGAUGCGUCAUGAAAGUGGAACCUAUGAUCUUUCGGAAAUUGUCUCACACUGUGAGUCAGAAUACUUGCCUGUGUGU
rnacentral:ncRNA from 1 species